UUAGGUAAUGCCAUCUUGAAACGAAAAUAGUGUCGCAUGAGUAGUGUGAAACGGAAUAUUAUUGUCUUAAUAUAUACAGAGAUAGCAUUAUUUUGCUUUAUUCAGAUAAGAGCAGAAAACUUACAUUGUUUUCCGUGAGAGUUGUGUUCACUGGCUGGUUCAUUCCCUGCAGUCACAUUUUCUGAGCGAGGAGCGCUGUUGUUGGUGGCGCUAACAAAGGAAAAUCUGGAUCCGAGCAGUUGUUCAUUGCUCGAUUUAGGAGAGAUGGCCGAGAUGUACAUUCGUGUCGCGGAGGAGGAGAACGAGGAGCCGAUGGAGAUCCCUUCAGAGGACGACGGCACUGUGCUGCUGUCCACGGUGGCCGCUCAGUUUCCAGGAGCUUGUGGCCUGCGUUACCGGAGCCCUGUGUCCCAGUGCAUGAGAGGAGUUCGACUGGUGGAAGGAGUCCUGCACGCCCCCGAGAAUGGCUGGGGAAACCUGGUCUAUGUGGUCAAUUAUCCUAAAGAAACGGUUCUGCCGGAUAAUAAGAGGAAGAUGGAUGAGAUUGAUGCUUCAUCUGCAACAAAGAUCAAGAGAGGAGAUCAGAAGACUUCAGAUCUGAUUGUGCUGGGUCUGCCAUGGAAAACUACAGAACAAGACUUAAAAGACUAUUUCAGUACAUUUGGGGACGUCAUCAUGGUUCAGGUCAAGCGGGAUGUGAAGACGGGAAAUUCGAAAGGAUUUGGGUUCGUGAGGUUUGCAGAGUGGGAGACUCAGGGUAAGGUGAUGUCACAGCGGCACAUGAUUGACGGCAGGUGGUGUGACUGCAAACUUCCCAACUCGAAGCAAGGUCCAGAUGAGCCAAUGAGGAGCAGGAAAGUGUUCGUGGGCCGUUGCACAGAGGACAUAACCGCUGAUGAGCUCCGUCAGUUCUUCAUGCAGUAUGGGGAGGUCACAGAUGUUUUCAUUCCUAAACCCUUCAGAGCAUUCGCUUUCGUCACCUUUGCAGAUGACCAGGUUGCCGCCUCUCUUUGCGGAGAAGAUCUGAUCAUCAAGGGCGUCAGCGUGCAUAUCUCCAAUGCUGAGCCAAAACACAACAACCCUAGGCAGAUGAUGGAGCGGGCUGGGCGCUUUGGGAAUGGGUUUGGAGGUCAGGGUUUCGGAGGCAGCCGAAGCAGCAUGGGGGGUAGCUCCAACAGCAUGGGAAAUUUAAGCAAUUUCAACCUCAAUCCAGCCAUGAUGGCUGCCGCCCAGGCCGCUCUGCAGAGCAGCUGGGGUAUGAUGGGAAUGUUAGCACAGCAGGGUCAGCCAGCAACAGCUGGCACGAGCACAAGCGGCGCGAGUUCCACUCGGGACCAGCCCCAAACAUACAGCUCGGGCAACAGCAACUACGGCAGCAGCUCGGCCGCUCUCGGCUGGGGCUCCGGCUCUAACUCUAGUGGUAGUGGGUUUAACUCCAGCUUUGGCUCUAGUAUGGAUUCAAAGUCGUCAGGGUGGGGUAUGUAAACAGAUUUGAGUUUGAAGUGUCAGUAUUUCUAGCGUGUUUGGUAAGUAUUUUCCAAGAGACUUAUCUCGUCACGUUUUUGGGAGUGGGGAUGGGUAAAAAGGGAGUCUGGGGACAACAACAACAACAACAACAAAAAAUAGAAUGUUUUGUACACUAAAUGGGAUUUGAUUUGUUUUGGAGUGAGAAGUUAACCAGGGUGCUACGUUUAUAUGUACCAUCUUUGAUGUUAUGUUUAUCCCCCAUGUUUUACUGUCUUGGUCGAUGCAAACGUAGCAUUUCAACUGGAUUCUUAAAAUGCAUGUUUUUCAAUCUGUGUAUAUCUGAAAACAUGAGAAUUGCAUCAUUAAGUACAUUUAUCAUUACGUAGGACAAAAACAAACAAACUUGCAUUGGAAAGAAUCUGGUUGAAACCUGAACAUAUUAUAAGUUCAGCUUUAUUUCAAUCCAGUUUUAUGGAAACCCUUUAAAACAAGCCUUCAUCAAAAUCUCUUCUGCAGUUGACAUCUGUGGGGUUUGCCUGGGAAGAGCGCCCUCUAUGGCAGCACAGUGUGGCUGAGGUCAUUAUGCCAUCUUCCUCCCCAUGUCUGUAUGCUCUCAUCGCACGGCUCGAUGACACGGGGCCUGGAAUAUGGCUGGCCACAACUGAACCCCAGGCGGGAAGUCCGUUUGGGCAUGGAGGAAGAUGGAGGAUGCUGUGGUUCUGCAUCUCUGGUAACGGCCAUGGACACGGUAGACUCUAGCUGAAUUUGAUUGAUGUAUCAGAAAGAGCACUUUUCUCAGAACCAUUUAAGCCUAAUACAUGUUGAUCUGUAUUUUCUGCCGAAAACCUCCUGAGCUGAGAUGAUAUUAGGCUCGAUCUGGGUUUGAGAAAAAGCAGUGCACUGUAUUAAAAUGCAGGCCAGGUCCAUAUUUCUAGUUUCUAAAAUGUGAUUUAAAAUAUUUUAUACAGUCUUUAUUGUUUCAUGGAGCUUCAUAUUACCAUGAAGAGAUGCUCACAGGAUUCAUUACAAUAAAAAAAAAUGAGCUCAUGUUUGAGUAAAAAAAAAAUAAGAUUGGUGUUUCAUAUUGAAUGAUUUAUGUAUAUUUGCAUAGCUUUUUUAUUACUACAUAAAAUAAAAAAACUACAAAAAACUUUGUACAUCUCAGAAUGUGAACAAUGAGGAUUUGUUCAUUUUAUUUUGUGUAGUCUUCAAGCACAUACUCCUCGGCUUCCUCUUGGCAGCAUUCCUCUUCCUUCAGUUCUUGGUUGAUCAAAGCCAGUUUAUGGCUUUUCAGAAUGUACUGUGAAGGUAUAGCAAAGGUACAAAGUUGUUUUUCACUCAUUUGAUGGAACCGUAAAAUCUAAAUGCGCUUAAAUUACAACAUUUCCAUGUAACUUACAAAUAUUGUAUUACAUGUGAUGUAAUUACAUGAGAAUGUAAAAAUCCUAUUAACAAAUUGUUAAAAUAAAAUUUAACAAUUUUUCAUUAAUAGUUACAUUGAUUUCACCACUUAUGCACUUAUUUUAUAUAUAAAACUUAAAUAUUGACAUUUCAUGGUUAAUCGAUGUAUUAUUAUUUUUACAUAUCAGAAUGAAUUCAUAAGGUUUUUAUGAAAAAGUUUUAUUUUCUUUAUGACAAGACUUGUGAACAAAAUUACCUUGAGGUAAUAGUGUUAAAAUACCAACAAAAAAAAUCCUCUGUAACUCCGGUCUUUCGGCAUGCAUGCAGAGAGACCACUUUUGAGGGUGAAGUUUACCUCGUUAACGCUUCCAAGUAAAAUAUAUCUAGAGGGAAGACCCAGGAGGAGCGUGAAUAAAUAUCGUUUAAUCUCGUCAAAUAUGAAUGACAGAAUCGAGCCUUCUCGCACUGUCUGAACAGUCUGUGCUGCUUUUGUCUGUUUAGUGAUUUGUUUUUCGCAGUCUGCGGCGAUAUGUUGACAGAGACAGUGCACAGCUGCUUUAAGCCUCUGAAAGCACAGAAAGCUGGCAAUGUGACAGAGAGAAACCCCCGAACAGUUUUUUAUAAUGACAAAAUGUAGCGAAGUAUAACAUAGACAUGACGCUUCAGCUUGUCAUUGAGUUUUAGUUUGUUUAACCCAUUUUUGUGAUCCGUCCUCAUCCGUUCUCAGUAGAUAAGCACGCUAAAGCUCAACUAUGUGCUUUUAGGAAUUACGCAUAAACUGUAAAAUGCAAUAAUUUACCAUAACGCGAAUUGUUUUUUUCCACGUUGUAGUGCCGACAUCAGUGUUCAUUCUCGCCCUAGCAGCGCCUCCUGCUGAUGCGGAGCGAAUGUCGGUCAAGAAAGAAUAUAGAAAGACAAUUUUCUUUUAUGGAUAGUUCUUUAAUAUAUGAUAAUGUCCCAUGGUAAAGUUACAAUUUAUUAUUUCUGUUUGUUGCUUCCCUAAAUAUAAAGCAUCCCAUACUGCUGAAACCAUUAAUGUGUUGGGGUUGGUUGACACAAUUGCGCAACAUUUAGUAAUAAAUUAACAAAAUGUAGGAAAACUGUGCCAACUAGUCUCAUUCUCCCUUACUUAAAUAUUUGUUUAGAUCAAUAAGAAAAAAAAGUCUCAUGCAUUACAAGACAAAAAUAAAUCAAUAAUUAAUUGCAGUACAGGCUAGGACGUAUAACCGAUUCAUCAAAUAAGAAAUACUUUUGGAGACACUCUUGAAUGUAGGCCUGCUGUAUUUUCUCGGUUGUUUAAUAUGCUUCCCCUCUUUUUGUAAUGCUAUGCUCACUUGUUUGAGAAUUGAAUAAUGCUGAAACCAUCUGUAUCUUAUUUUUCUUCAAUAAACUUGAAAGGAUUUCAGUUUAA